rnacentral:rRNA from 1 species
UACGGAGGAUCCGAGCGUUAUCCGGAUUUAUUGGGUUUAAAGGGUGCGCAGGCGGGGGAUUAAGUCGGCGGUGAAAUUUUGCAGCUCAACUGUAAAAGUGCCUUCGAAACUGGUUUCCUUGAGUGUAGAUGAAGUAGGCGGAAUUUGUGGUGUAGCGGUGAAAUGCAUAGAUAUCACGAGGAACUCCGAUUGCGCAGGCAGCUUACUAAACUACUACUGACGCUCAGGCACGAAGGCGUGGGGAUCAAACAGGAAUAGAUACCCCCGUAGUCCCUGA